GUGUUCAUAGCUGUAGUUGUAGGUUUGAUGUACUGCCACAGAAAGUGUAAACAAUCGGAAAAAGAAGUUAAGGCUCAAGAGGAAGAGAUACUUUAUGCUGAUACAACAUUCUGUGCAUAUCAGGUUAAGAGUAUGGAUGUCAUUGCAGCAGAUCAAACAGAAUAUUCAACUGUUAAGACAUGAAAGACCGAUUGAGCUCAGCCAUCUUGUAGGACAUCUCAAUUCUCUAAUUGCACCACGAGGAUCGAGGAUUGAGGAUCGAGGAGGCUUCCUGAGGAGUCAUGAGCGAGGAUACACAGGUGUAUCCUAUGCGGAAGUCUUUUUUGGGCAAAAAAAUGAUGCACAUAUAAAUGCUCCUCCUCCUUCACAUCUGUCGUAAUAAUUUACAUUUAUAUUUUACCUUUGCAGUUUAAAUAAACCAUACAUGUCAUAUAUUUCAACGGGGCAUCUUGCUUUAUUAUUAUUUAUUAUGAAUGCCUUAAAUAACGAACUUCAACAACAUAAGGGCAGAUGGUGACGCUUUAAGUGACACUUGAGUGGACAAGAAUAUUCCAAUGUUCAUGAUUCCUCCAUCCUCAUUUCCUUUCCUUGCAUCCUUCCCUCGUAUCCUAAGGGUGGUGGAGCUAAGAUGCGAGGAAAGGAAACAAGGAUGCACAAAUAAGAACUGAGAAGCACCACCGAUGUCACUUUGAUAACACUGGUGUUUUCCCCUUAUAUGCGUUUCAUUACAUUUCAUUUAGGAGCAGCUAAAGUUAAAGAUUAUUUUCAGAUUAGUGAGGUAGUUUUUGUAAAUAUGUAAAUUUUAAUUUCACUCCACAUUUCACAAUAUUAUUUUGUAUGUUUUUAUAUAUUUUGUAACACUUUAGGAGUGGGCGUCGUAUGUCAUUUCCAUCAGCAGUUUUGACGAUAUAAUUGUGUGUCACGUUAAUAGUGAUGCACAAGAUCUGAUUUGAGCAGCCAGAGCAUCAGGACUGAGACACAUCUGUUAAGAUCGAUUGCAUAAACCACCUCCAAAUGUGGUUUUAAUCAGAUUUCAUGUUUUUUUUUUUUUUUUUUUGCUGUUCUGACUUUCAAAAGCCCAUCUGAAUAAUAUCUGGAUAUGCAAAAAUCUGAUAUCUGAUUUUUGCUGACAGUCUGAACAAGGUCUCUGUGUAUAUAUAUAUAUAUAUAUAUAUAUACUGUAUAUACUGUAUAUAUCAAAUAUAUUUCAUUAUUAUUAAAAUGUUUUAUUCUUUCAUU
rnacentral:lncRNA from 1 species